GCAGCAGAAGCAGCGCCGCGUACCCGGGUCACGUGACAGCGGGCAGGGUCGCCUCUGAUGUCACCGCCCGGCCGGCCC